rnacentral:rRNA from 1 species
GACGAACGCUGGCGGCGUGCUUAACACAUGCAAGUCGAACGGAAAGGCCCUGCUUUUGUGGGGUGCUCGAUUGGCGAACGGGUGAGUAACACGUGAGUAACCUGCCCUUGAAUUUGGGAUAACUUCUGGAAACUGGGGCUAAUACCGGAUAGGAGCUCCUGCUGCAUGGUGGGGGUUGGAAAGUUUCGGCGGUUGGGGAUGGACUCGCGGCUUAUCAGCUUGUUGGUGGGGUAGUGGCUUACCAAGGCUUUGACGGGUAGCCGGCCUGAGAGGGUGAACGGGCACAUUGGGACUGCGGUACGGCGCAGACGCCUACGGGAGGCAGCAGUGGGGAAUAUUGCACAAUAGGCGGAAGCCUGAGGCAGCAACGCCGCGUGCGGAAUGACGGCCUUCGAGUUGUAAACAGCUUUCGCCUGUGACGAAGCGUGAGUGACGGUAAUGGGUAAAGAAGCACCGGCUAACUACGUG